GUAACAAGGUUUCCGUAGGUGAACCUGCGGAAGGAUCAUUACCGAGUGUAGGGUUCCUAGCGAGCCCAACCUCCCACCCGUGUUUACUGUACCUUAGUUGCUUCGGCGGGCCCGCCAUUCAUGGCCGCCGGGGGCUCUCAGCCCCGGGCCCGCGCCCGCCGGAGACACCACGAACUCUGUCUGAUCUAGUGAAGUCUGAGUUGAUUGUAUCGCAAUCAGUUAAAACUUUCAACAAUGGAUCUCUUGGUUCCGGCAUCGAUGAAGAACGCAGCGAAAUGCGAUAACUAGUGUGAAUUGCAGAAUUCCGUGAAUCAUCGAGUCUUUGAACGCACAUUGCGCCCCCUGGUAUUCCGGGGGGCAUGCCUGUCCGAGCGUCAUUGCUGCCCAUCAAGCACGGCUUGUGUGUUGGGUCGUCGUCCCCUCUCCGGGGGGGACGGGCCCCAAAGGCAGCGGCGGCACCGCGUCCGAUCCUCGAGCGUAUGGGGCUUUGUCACCCGCUCUGUAGGCCCGGCCGGCGCUUGCCGAACGCAAAUCAAUCUUUUUCCAGGUUGACCUCGGAUCAGGUAGGGAUACCCGCUGAACCUAAGCAUAUC
rnacentral:misc_RNA from 1 species